UCGCUAGCUUACUUGCUUGCUAGCUAGCAGCUUGUAAAUUAAUCUUCCGUUCGAAGGACUGCAGCAGUAUGUUUUAACAAGGAUACAAAAAUGCUAUACUGUAGUACAGCGGAACGGCGGGAGGACGAAAAGUCACAGCAGAAAAAAAAAUAUGCUAAGUGUGUAGCAGCAAGUGGUUCACCUUAGUGGUGCUGAACUGCUUCCCAAGCCGAACUCUGCCACCCCCUCUGCGGGUGUAGCCCAGGGUCUUCUUGCUUUUGGGCGCCGUCACGUCACCGUUUGGAGGUGAGGGAGAAGCUGUGCCCCGCCAGCUCAUAUGCUUGGCAUUCCAAUGCUUCCAGUUUGGCUUGCAUCACAUGUUUUUGUCUUUCACACUCUUCUACACUGAAGCCCACCCCGUUGAGUUCCAGCAGAGCCAGACACACUUGGCAGGGCAUCUCCACCCUCCUGAAGGAGUCUGCACAUGAGGCAUCAGGACACAUCAUGUACAAAAUUACGAAGAGUCUAUUUUUCUAUUCUUUUCAUACCCAACAUGCCGUCUUUCUCUAGUAGAAUGCUAAGCUUGUUCAUGACAGCGUAUACGAGCACGCUCGUGGUGGCUGCCCUCACCCGAGGACAGUAUGCGUGUGCGUUCCCAAGCCCGUCCAACAGAGGAAGCGCUUCCGGACAAUAAACAGUCACCAUGUUUGGCAGAGUCCUCUCCUCACUGCCAGGGUCCAACAGCCAGCAUGCCACCUUGAGGAAGACAGUAACUGCUUUGGUGCAGAUAGUCAUUUUAAUUUACAGAUAUCAGAUAUGCAAAUCUUUCAUGGAUUAAAGCAGUUCCUCUGUGUCUUAAUAACAUGUCUGUGACAUGCUUCAGUCAAAAUACUUAAAGAGAAAAAUACAGCACACAUAAAAGCCCUCUCUUAACAGCCCUGUUCAGAGCAGCUGGUUUUGGGGGAACCUGAAGCGUCAGACAGAGCUCGCAUGUGCAGCAUAUUACGCGUUAUCCCUGUGAGUAAGCAUUAUCCUUUAUUUUGUUAAGGGAUUAUUUAUUUCUGUGUUUACUGUAUCUGGGAUAAAAAGUAAAGUUAAUUUCAGCAUUUUCCACCAAUUUCCUCAUGCCUAAAGAGCAUAGUUCUCUCACCUUGGGGUCUUCACAGUUUUCCUCCAAGCUGACAUCACAGCUCAACACCAGCAUCUUGUACGCCUGAAUGAUGUCAUACGUAACCACUACACUCCCUUUAGCUGAUGGCCUACUGAGACGUCCCUUCACGUGUUCGAGCCGCUCACCUACAGAUAAACUCUCAUCCAGGGCGGGAGGGGCAAGACUCAAACUCAAACCUGAGAAGCAGUGGAAAGUUUCUUGUCUGUGGUAAGUAUAUGUGCAUAAAUGUGUGUGUGUGUGUGUGUGUGUGUGUGUGUGUGAGUACCUUGGCUCUGCUCUCGCUGAAAGGAUAUGUAGUAAGCAUCUCUAGCUCCCCAGCAGAUAGACAGUCCAAUCAGCACUGAUCCAUCACUGCCUCUUACAGGGAAACCAUCAGCACCAUGGAGCUUCUGGUGAACUGUUUACAUAAAAGACAUGCACACUGUAAAACAAACAUUCUAUUCACAUUUUUCUGAAAGAAAAAUGCAUCUGCAUUGAUCACCUUUCUUAUGUUUCCCUCCAAUUUCCCCAUCUGACAUAUGCUGGUGCUCCUUCUCCCAGGCUAAAGCUAGAGCGUAUCGCUCUUUAGUUUUCCACUCCUUGACGAAGGUGUGGAAAAGCCUUCUGUCACUGGACACGUCAAUGAUGGAGAAGGCGCUGCUGGAAUUGGUGGAGGAAAGCGAUGCAUCUUGGGAGAGCUGGAGAGAGAAGCCCUGGUAGGAGUCCGGUGGUGUGUGCUCACAGGGAGGCUGCAGCUGUGUGGUAUUCACAGGUGGAGGAGGUUCUGGUUUGUAUUUUGGAUGAGCUCCUGGUUGGUCAUUAUUGGGACACUUAGAAGUUUUCUCGGGCAGAAGACCUGAGGGAGUCGACUGUUUGAGCGGAGGGAUGGCGAGAGGCGACUGAAUAGAAGUAGUAGUUAGUUUUAUUCUGGGCGUCACAGGCGGUGUCUCCGGAGUGGGUGGUAUAAGGUCCCUGGCAGAGUCUGGCCUCUCUGUUACCGUCUCAGUGACCUCUCUUGAUGGUUGUGAUCCUACAGAGUCCCUCUCAGGGUCAUGAGUGAUUGCCACCUGCGUACGCGGUUGACCUCUAUCUGGAGAAUGAACGGUGCUUAAAGGAGGAUUUUGGCUGUUACUGCCUCUUUGGGCCAAUGUGCUGUUUUGCACAGGCUGAUCAGACAUACUAGGCCAGCGGUCAAAGAUCUCCUGCAGACCAGGACUGCAAUAAAAGCUGCUCUCAGCUGCAAUAAUGACUUCUGGUACAGACGUGGGUCCAUCGUCCUUUUCUCCGUUUCCCAUGUGUUUUGAAACUUCAGCUUCAGCUUCACUUUGUGGCCCAGCUUGUGCAGGUGACGGCUGCUCUUCAGGAAGAACAUGACCUUCCAGAUGGCCGCCCUCCUGCCUCUCUAAAAAGUGUUCGCCCACCAGCAGUGAGUCUCCCCACUCUGACAGGUUGAAAGAUGAUUCUCCCCACUGGAUGGCCUCGUGCUUCUCUGCUUGCUGGUUGACAAGCAGCUCACUGCGGCGUUGCUCUUGUGUAGACAACAGGUGGCGUCCGCAUUCGGUCUCCUCGUUGACUGAUUGGUCAAGGUCAGCUUGAUAUGGGCUCAGAGAGUUCUCAUAUAGACUGUCAAACAAGAAGCUGCUGCUUCGGUUUGGAUUCUCUAGAGCAGCAUUAGCCGCUUCAUUGUUACUCCGAUCUGCAUUAUUGCCACCUUCAACAGGAGAAUUCUGCAAAAACAUGAGAAAAUUGCCUUUAAAUCUCCUCUAUUAUGAAAAAAAUGACCUUUUAAUGAAUUUCUAAUAUGUGCCCGUAGAGCCUGUUCAUGAGCAACUAACUAGAAAAAUCUAUCAUCACCCUCACUUGUUUGCGCCACUUCAGGAGGUAAGAGCCGUUCAAACGGUCACCUUGAAGGCCGGGUUUUCAUGACAUCAUGAAAGAAAAACCUUCCUCAUGGACUGCCUCUGGCCCACCCUUAGCUAGAUAAGCCCCGCCUCACGUAUAUGCCUGAGAGGCUUCUCUACACAACUUAAAACCAAGCCUGGUGCUCUACCAGCUAUCCAUCAGUCAGCUCAAGAUAUGGGAGCUAUAAGUGUGAUCAUUGUGUUUUUCUUCUGUGAAUAGGCUAACCUGGCAUGAUGUUGCUAUGCUAUGCUAUAUUUGUGUUACAUUGUUUUAUCUAAUAUAUACAGUACAUUGUUUAUCAUUUGGUGGAAAAAUGUCAAAAAUAUGGUGUAGUUGUCAUGAUCGUCACUCACCUGACCACUGGUGUCCAGGAUGAGAUCCAUCUGACUGUCUGUCAGAGAAAUAUUGAACUGGGGGCAUGUAUUGUCCUGGGCUUGAAGUCCGGUUCUUCCCUCAUCUUUGUCCUUCUGCUCCACAACUGCUUCUACCAUUUCCUCAUUGUGUAUAUGACCUGCUCCUUUUAAAUCCUGCUGAUGUCUUUUAUCAUCACUGCGUUCUAAUCCCGGCUGGACAGUUAUCAUUCUUUCAGUCUGCGUGUCCAAUUCAAAGCUGUCGCCAAAUGUCUGUUCCUGCUGUUUGGUGUCAGGCUGCAUUUCUUCAUCUCCUGCGUAAAGGUCAGGAGAUGAAAACAUGUCCACCUCUGCGCCCCGCGCCCUCCUUCGCUUGGCUUCAGGUGACAAUAAUGGGUCUGAGGCAGCACUGGAGUCUGCUUUUUUCUCCUGCGGAAGAGUUUUUUGGGCGGGAACAGGAGCUACCUCAGCAGGAUCAUGUGGCCGUUUGUCUGUUUGUAUGGAAUGGAGAACUUUGUUUAGGAUCUGCGAAUGCUUCAGUUUUCCUGGCUGCACAGGAGAGACACCGAGCCUUGAAGUACUACCAACUUCUGAUGUCUUUGUGGCAAAACUGCGGUGUUCUUCUAACCUGGAAACUGGGGCUCUUAACUGAGGAAGAGGCACCGAAGGGAGAUCUGGUUCAGGCAGUUGUUGAGGUUGAAGUGCAGGGCUGGACACAAUGUCAGCCAGUUCUUGUGUCAUACUCCUUGGAAGCCCAACAGGCCCAUGUGCAUCCUUCUUUCUGACUGAAAAUUCACUUGUGCCUCCUUCGUACUUUCUAUUCUCCCUAUUCUCGUCAUUCUUUUCCUUCUGUAGCAUUAAAACUUCAAUGCCUGAUUUGUUCCUUGCACUCAAAUCUUCCUGUCUAUGCUCCUCCAGUUUUGCCUCAACUUCUAUCACCUCAGAGCCUGAAGUGGGAAGUGUCACAUUCUCUUUUCCUGGUUCUCCUUGUUUCAUGUGUUCAUUUUCUUCUUUAUUGCUCUGUGAAAUAACAUCAGCACCCACAGUUUUGUUUCUCCCUCCCUCUUGGCCUUGUUGUGAACUAUGGACAGCAGAAGCACAAGGGGGAACCAUUGACGGGUGCCACUGAAUGCCCAGCAGUGCCAGGUCUCCCUGAAGCAGGAGCUUUGCCUCGGACACAAUCGCAACAGCUGCUUCCUGCUCUGUCAGGGCCUGCCCUCCGCUAACCCACACACAACGGAGGUUCCGGCGCUCCACGGCUUCCACCUCGCUCUCAUCCACUGCACGCUUGGAACUGAGGAAGUAGACAGUAGACUUUCUGCUAAGGUCAUGGUGCAAAAUCGUUAAGUGGUUGUAAUUAAGCAGAUCCUCUUCAAGGGUUAAUAUUGUGGCCACACAUACAGUAUCCCUCAAAAGUCAGUACUUCCCCCACAUUUCAGCAACCAGUGGAAUUAAAGUACCGUACAUUAUAUCUUCUUGAGGGACAACUCUAUAGAAAUGAAACCACAAUAGGCUUUAGGAGUAGUACAGCUUGUACAGUACAGCAGGAUAGAUUUACUAUCCACUGACAAUGAGUCGACACAAAGCCAGUAUUUUCUACAUAGCUGGAAACAUCAGUAGACUCUCUUGCCUAUAGUCAAGCAUAGUGCCAGCGGCAUCAUGGCUGCAUGACUGCUUCCACCACUGUGGAGCUGCGGUUCAUUGUGGGGAAACAUGAAUUCCAACAAGUACUGUGAUAUUGUGAAGCAGCGCAUGAUCUCAUCCCUUGGAAAACUGGGCCACAUGGCGGCUUUCCAACAUAACAAGUCCCAACACACCUCAGAGAUGACAAAUAACUUGCUGAGGAAGCUUAAGUAUGUCUCUAGUAGUGAUGUCUGGCUCGAUAUUGAAAUAUCAAUACCUCCAAUACCAGAUCCUUAUGCUCUAAGAUCGAUUUUCAAAUCAAAAUAUCGAUACUUUGAUGCUAAAGUCAUUUGUGGUAUUGUAUAUCAUUAACAGGAACACAGUGGAAAGUAACUAAAUGACACUUGUCUAAAUGAUAUGCAGUUGGUGGAACUACUUUUUCUUGCGCCUGGGUAAGUGCAUAAUGCGGAAGCGCAGCAGCACACUGCUCAGUCGGUCAGUGUCAGUUUGUUGAAAUGAUGGCCAAUCGUAAACAAAGCCAUGUGUGAAUUGUGAAUUAAUUUUCAUUCUUAUAGUAGGUUUUAAUAAUUAAUUUAAAUGGUUGUGUUAUUUCAAUUCCUUUUUUAUUUUUGUUAGUGUGUGAAACAAUUUUCGCACAUUUUAUAUGAUUUUGACCUCUGUUUUUUCUUUUGUAUACUGUAAUAGCUUGGCUACACUCUAAUACAUCAAUAUACUUAAGAGUUUUAAAUAAAUGAAUAAGCAUACUCUGAUGUAUUUUUUUCUUUAUGUUAUCAGCUAUGCUAUGAUUUCAAAUGAUUUCACUAGUUUUUAAAAUUUACCAGACACAUUUGGUAAGUAUUGGUAUUGCCAAUACCAGUCUGAAUUUUACUCUGUAUCGGAUCAGAAAGGAAAUCAGUGGUGUCGCACAUCACCAGUCUCCAGAUUUGAAUUUACUUGAGGACCUGUACAGUAUCCUCAGGCGGAAGGAGAAGAAGAAUAAGGUGGAGGAGGGCAAGGUGUCUCACAUCCAGCAGCUCUGCCACUGAUGUUAUCAGGAACGAGUGGAAGACGAUUCCAGUAUCAACCUGUGCAGCUCUGGUGAAUUCAAUGCCCAAGAGGAUGAAGGCAGUGUUAGAUAACAAUGGUGCUCACUAAAUAUUGACACAUUUGUGUGUUUACUUAUUUUCAGUGGCUAGUAAAUUUAUUGUGCAUUCAAAGCUGCACGUUGACUACUCUAAGUUAUAUCACAGUUUCACUUCUAUCCAGUACUAUCGUCCCCUCACAACAUAUAAUAAAAUGGUUGUUGAAAUGUGAGGCGUGUACUCACUUUUGUAAAACAGUCAGCGUGUUGCCAAAAGAACCAGCCUUCAUGCAUGUUUUAUGAACACUCAUACCACAGCUACCUCUUAAAUGGGACAGCGUUCCUCAGGGCUUUCUCCACUUCAGCGACUGAAGCUCUGGCUAGUUCGGCGACAGUGCACAGACCUUGUGCAUAGAGUGCUCGGGCCCGUGUCGCGCUGAGGAGGGAGACCCUCACCAAAUCCACCAGCUCGCGUUGGACACCGAAACUCAGUCUGGUCUGGUACUGGGACAGCAGCAGCUCCAUGUUGCCCCAACCCAGACGCUUGCAGAACACUGUCACCAUACCUGAGGGAUGGAUGUUGAAUGUUGCAGUCAUUAAAUAAUCAUGACAUUUAGUUGCAAUAAUGUGGGUUGUUAGCAACUGCCCUGAUCAACUACUGUAUAUCAACUGCUUUUAAUACAAUGCCGAUUUUGUAUGAGUACGUACCUGCAUAUGUAGCAGCAGAUUGCUGGAGAGACUGCAACUGCCCACGGUUGCAGUUGUAUUUUGAUGCAACUGCCCCCAAAGGCACCUCAUUCACCAGAUCCUGCAGUACAAGAGUGGUGAAGAACCUGUGUGGGGAUAUCAACCCAUAUAUAUAUCAUUUAUCAUCUCCAACAUGUUCUGCAUUCAGUACAAGAAAUAUAUAAUUUACAUACUGUAAAUACACAACAAUGUUACCGUUUA